rnacentral:rRNA from 1 species
UACAGAGGGUGCGAGCGUUAAUCGGAAUUACUGGGCGUAAAGCGCGCGUAGGCGGCUUUUCAAGUCGAUUGUGAAAUCCCCGGGCUCAACCCGGGAACUGCGUCCGAUACUGGAAGGCUUGAAUCCGGGAGAGGGAUGCGGAAUUCCAGGUGUAGCGGUGAAAUGCGUAGAUAUCUGGAGGAACACCGGUGGCGAAGGCGGCAUCCUGGACCGGUAUUGACGCUGAGGCGCGAAAGCCAGGGGAGCAAAGCGGG